GAUCCUGCUCAGAUUGAACGCUGGCGGCAGGCUUAACACAUGCAAGUCGAACGGUAACAUAAAGAAGCUUGCUUCUUUGAUGACGAGUGGCGGACGGGUGAGUAAUGCUUGGGAAUCUAGCUUAUGGAGGGGGAUAACUAUGGGAAACUGUAGCUAAUACCGCGUAAAAUCGGGAGAUGAAAGUGUGGGACCUUCGGGCCACAUGCCAUAGGAUGAGCCCAAGUGGGAUUAGGUAGUUGGUGAGG
rnacentral:rRNA from 1 species